rnacentral:lncRNA from 1 species
CCAGAGGGCAGCGCCUGCCCGCAGGUGUGCAGGUGGGGAGGUGGGACUGCGCGGCUGCGGGCCUGCUGGAGCCCGGGGGUUAAGUGGCUCACCUAAGAGGAACUCGCCGCAGGCACUCAGGCAUCCCGAAACUGGGAGCUCGGAACCCUUCCCCAGCUGGGGCCUCGGCCGGAAUCUUUCUCCUAGUCAUGACCGACCGGCCUCUUUUCUUCGCCCUGCUGCUGCUCUCCUGGAAAUUGGAGAGAGCUCUUCUGAAACUACCAUGAACACCUCUCCUACCAGCUUCCCCACAAUUUCCUACAGUGUCUCCCCCUCCCAUACUUCCCAGUCCAGUUCCCCUUCCACCUCUCACAGUGUCUCCCCCUCCCCUCUUACCUCUGACAGUGGCUCCCCAUGUCCCUUCCCUUCCACCUGCCACAGUGGCUCCCAGUCCACCACCUCCUCCCGAAGUGACUCUACCUCCCAAACCAGCCGACCCGUCUCCCCAACUACCUUGGAGGGCUCCUCCCCAAACUCCAACACCUUCUCUGGAGAUCCAUCUGCUGCUACGAGUAUGACAACCCCAGAGGAGGGGUCUACCACGCCGGUGAUCAGUGCCAGUUCAGCCCCAGGGGGACCCAGCGUAAUCCUGCUGUGGUGAUUGUGGUCUGCCUGUUGGUAUCCGUUCUGGUCCUGGGCUCUAUGGUGGUGGCUGUGAAAUACUGCCGGAAGAAUAUGGGAAGCUUUGAGAAGAUGGAUAAGAUGUCCAUGGAAACUGUUCAAUAGGAAUCACCCUUUGCAAGACUUCCCCCUCGGUGACCACAGAUGGCAACGGAGGUGGCUUCUGAGGGGCUGUUGGGACAGCUCCUGCUCACCCAUGCCCUCCACCCCCUCCCAUAAGGAUACU